AUUGAACGCUGGCGGCAUGCCUUACACAUGCAAGUCGAACGGCAGCACGGGUGCUUGCACCUGGUGGCGAGUGGCGAACGGGUGAGUAAUACAUCGGAACGUACCUUAUCGUGGAGGAUAACGCAGCGAAAGCUGUGCUAAUACCGCAUACGCCCUGAGGGGGACAGCGGGGGAUCGCAAGACCUCGCGCAAUUAGAGCGGCCGAUGCCUGAUUAGCUAGUUGGUGGGGUAAAAGCCCACCAAGGCGACGAUCAGUAGCUGGUCUGAGAGGACGAUCAGCCACACUGGGACUGAGACACGGCCCAGACUCCUACGGGAGGCAGCAGUGGGGAAUUUUGGACAAUGGGGGCAACCCUGAUCCAGCAAUGCCGCGUGAGUGAAGAAGGCCUUCGGGUUGUAAAGCUCUUUUGUCAGGGAAGAAACACCGGCUCUAACACAGUCCGGGAAUGACGGUACCUGAAGAAUAAGCACCGGCUAACUACGUGCCAGCCGCCGCCGUAA
rnacentral:rRNA from 1 species